CACGCGCGCGCCUGCGCCCGUCCGGUGGAUGGGAUGGCCGGCGGGCCGGCGAUCGAGCGCCUCCCCCUCGAUCUGGCACAGCGCAGCGGCGCCGUACCGCAUCAUUGCACACCGUAGCCCUAGCCAAGUUGCCAGCCCGGCACGGAAUGUUCCGGCUCAGCCGCCCGCCCCGCUGCCGCCUAUAUAGCCGCCCCGGCCGGCGCCCCGAUCCCUUGCUCCCCGCGACGCCCGCCCAUCUCGCCAUGGCGCCCCGGCCCGCGCGCGCCUCCUCCUGAGCUGAUGAUGGCCUGCGCGCGCGAGCUGCUGCUAGCUCGCGAGACGCGUGCGGUGAUUGCGGCGGCGGCGGGGUGCUGCAGGCGCGGCCGGCUACCGAUCGGCGGGCGGCGCGCGCGGGCGGUGACAGAAGAGAGUGAGCACACGGCCGGGCGGAACGGCACCGGCGGAUGUGCCGUCGCGGCCGCGUGCUCACUGCUCUAUCUGUCAUCCUCCCCUCUCCCCCGGCCGGCCGCCCUGCCGAUCGGUGCUAGCCGUGGCGCCUCUCCGCAGAAACGCUCGCGCGGCCGUCGCGAUCACCGCACCGGCGCGGCUGCAAGCUAGCACACGCCGGCGCACGCCCCCCCGGUGAUCUCUCCAUCUCCUUGCCCGUGUGUCAUUGUAUGCCGCAGAAUUGCCACCGCUGCGUCGUGAAUUGUCAUUGUAUGCCGCACACCAAUCACGAUUCUUAGCUUUGCGUGUAGUAUAUCGAUCCCUUGCUUAAGUUCCCAAUAAUAGUCUGAUUUGGUUUUCAUGGGGUUCUGGAGUUUCUUCGAUUCUGGGAUCUUCCUUCGGCGUGGGAAGGUAGAGAGGAGGUCAGAUCCCUUCUCAAUCUCUCUCUCUCUUUUUGUAUUUCAGGCAUCUGGACUACUAUACCACACAGUUGCUGACUUUGAUUUACAGUUUUACACAGGGAUUGCAUGUCCCGUGCUGUGCUGUGCUAGGGGUGGUAAAAGGUCUUAAUUAAAAUUUUGCCAAAAUAUUCUAAGGGCCGAGUCUGAAAAGGGUCGGACUCUAGUAGUACAAUUUUGAGAUAAAAAUUAAUAAGCUAAGGGACCUGUUGGAUUGCGAAGAGACUUCGAGCCAUGAUUGGUUACCCCUUCUCCGCAUUUAUUUCUUUAAUUGAGCCAAUUUAUAUGAUGAUUUAGGAACAAUUCUGUUGGGGGUCGCACUGCCACAGCUGAAACAGGUACUUAAUUAUGCACUGUUAUAAUUUGGUAUUUUCGUUUUAAUUUGUUGUGGUGCGUACAGUUCAUAUCAUUCUGUAGGUUUGUUAUUCUUGAUGUCAUGCACAACAUGUACAUCAGGCUCUCAGCAUUAAUUUGCCAAAAUUAUCAUUGUCUGCAAUUUCGGGAAGAGGCAUAUACAUAUAUACUCGGUGAGGAUCCGAGGGUGGCUCUCUUUAUCUGAUCAUCAUGCGAAGCCAAGCAGGAAGAAAGGCCGCCACUCUUCUUGGGCUGUAUGUAUGAGCAACGCCAGUACAGUAAUGGAUGGAUUUGCAACCUCUGCUGGGAGCUUGUGAGUUUGCUUAUCUUACUAUCUAUCAUCAGUUAGAUCAUGAGCUGUAGUAUACAUGAGGUAAGUCAAGUCUGUCUCUGCGGACCCGGACUAUGUGAUAUAGUGCCAGUGGCCAGUUAUGCUGUCAUCGUGAUGCGCUUGCAGCACGCUGGAGGUGCUUGGUGCGGUUGAGUGCAGUGCAUACAGCUGAAAUAUCAAGCAGCUGCCACCUUGACCUUGGCUCCACACUGAUGUUACUUAAUCGACAUGGUACCAGUAUGCUGAUGAGGAUGCCCCUCGAUUUGAUGAUUCGCCAGAUGAUGUGGACUCAGCAGAUUGUAACCUAUUCAUCAAGUUUGAAGUCAUAUAGGCUCAUAUAUAGCUGAUACACUCCAGACCUUUUGCUCUUCACUUUUACACGUGCAUUCACAUUUGUAGCUCCAGCCUUCCAGAGAACGGUAGGGGGCUAGGGGCUAGGUUGCUGGACAAGUGUGUAGAGACACACUGUUGCAUUCAUGACGUCUCGUACUUAUCUCUUCAAUGAGAUCUGCCCUACUCAUCUUCGGAGUUCUUCAUCUGUAAACGCUCUUGACAGUUAACAGCUGUGUCUGUGCACAAAGUAUGUGUUUCAUCUCUUAGGCAUGUUUUUUGCUCGUA